ACGAACGCUGGCGGCGUGCCUUACACAUGCAAGUCGAACGGGGUUAAGGGGCUUGCUCCUUAAUCUAGUGGCGCACGGGUGAGUAACGCGUAGAUAAUCUGCCUGAUGAUUUGGGAUAACACUUCGAAAGGGGUGCUAAUACCGAAUAAGCCCACGGAGUCCUUGGACUCUGCGGGAAAAGGGGGGGACCUUCGGGCCUUCCGUCAUCAGAUGAGUCUGCGUACCAUUAGCUAGUUGGUAGGGUAAAGGCCUACCAAGGCGACGAUGGUUAGCUGGUCUGAGAGGAUGAUCAGCCACACUGGAACUGAGACACGGUCCAGACUCCUACGGGAGGCAGCAGUGGGGAAUUUUGCGCAAUGGGGGAAACCCUGACGCAGCAACGCCGCGUGAGUGAUGAAGGCCCUUGGGUCGUAAAGCUCUGACAGAGGGAAAGAAAUGUGGGUGGCUAAUAUCCAUUCCACUUGACGGUACCCUCAAAGGAAGCACCGGCUAACUCCGUGCCAGCAGCCGCGGUAAUACGGAGGGUGCAAGCGUUGUUCGGAUUUAUUGGGCGUAAAGCGCGUGUAGGCGGUUUUAUAAGUCUGAUGUGAAAGCCCUGGGCUCAACCCGGGAAGUGCAUUGGAUACUGUAAGACUUGAAUACGGGAGAGGGCAGUGGAAUUCCUGGUGUAGGAGUGAAAUCCGUAGAUAUCAGGAGGAACACCGGUGGCGAAGGCGGCUGCCUGGACCGAUAUUGACGCUGAGACGCGAAAGCGUGGGUAGCAAACAGGAUUAGAUACCCUGGUAGUCCACGCCGUAAACGAUGAGUACUAGGUGUUGCGGGUAUUGACCCCUGCAGUGCCGCAGCUAACGCAUUAAGUACUCCGCCUGGGAAGUACGGUCG
rnacentral:rRNA from 1 species